CUUGAACUAGUGCCGGGACCUGUAGCUGAGAGAUUGGAUGCAGUGGGCUGGGAGAAUGCGUGUCGGAAUGGUGGCGUCACACUGUUGGAGCUGGGACUGGACGAGUUGAGGCCAAGGAAGCGCAGAUCAUCCCUCAGACAGAACACGGCCCAACUCCAUCUUGUCUCUGCUCAGCCUCUCGAGCCUGACUCGUGGCCUGCCGGGAGAAGGCUACACGCACAGGUCAUAAUGGAAAGCAUCCUACUGUUGACUUCUUAGAAUUACUUUGGUGCGGUUAUUCGUGGAUUGCAGAAUUUGACUGCUAAUAAAUCCAGUUAUAUGUCCCUGUC